rnacentral:rRNA from 1 species
UACGUAGGGUGCGAGCGUUAAUCGGAUUUACUGGGCGUAAAGCGUGCGCAGGCGGCCCGUUAAGACAGGUGUGAAAUCCCUGGGCUCAACCUAGGAAUUGCGCUUGUGACUGGCGGGCUCGAGUACGGUAGAGGGGGGUGGAAUUCCUGGGGUAGCAGUGAAAUGCGUAGAGAUCAGGAGGAACACCGAUGGCGAAGGCAGCCCCCUGGGCCUGUACUGACGCUCAUGCACGAAAGCGUGGGGAGCAAACAGG